GACCUCGGAUCAGGUAGGAAUACCCGCUGAACUUAAGCAUAUCAAUAAGCGGAGGAAAAGAAACCAACAGGGAUUGCCCUAGUAACGGCGAGUGAAGCGGCAACAGCUCAGAUUUGAAAUCUGGCUCUCGGGCCCGAGUUGUAAUUUGUAGAGGAUGCUUUUGAUGCGGUGCCUUCCGAGUUCCCUGGAACGGGACGCCAUAGAGGGUGAGAGCCCCGUCUGGUUGGAUGCCAAAUCUCUGUACAGCUCCUUCGACGAGUCGAGUAGUUUGGGAAUG
rnacentral:rRNA from 1 species